rnacentral:rRNA from 1 species
UCGGGAAUUUUGGGCAAUGGGCGAAAGCCUGACCCAGCAACGCCGCGUGAAGGAUGAAGUAUUUCGGUAUGUAAACUUCGAAAGAAUAGGAAGAAUAAAUGACGGUACUAUUUAUAAGGUCCGGCUAACUACGUGCCAGCAGCCGCGGUAAUACGUAGGGACCAAGCGUUGUUCGGAUUUACUGGGCGUAAAGGGCGCGUAGGCGGCAAUUCAAGUCAUCUGUGAAAUCUCUGGGCUUAACCCAGAACGGCCAAGUGAUACUGUCGCGCUAGAGUGCAGAAGGGGCAAUCGGAAUUCUUGGUGUAGCGGUGAAAUGCGUAGAUAUCAAGAGGAACACCUGAGGUGAAGACGGGUUGCUGGGCUGACACUGACGCUGAGGCGCGAAAGCCAGGGGGAGCAAACGGGAUUAGAUACCCGAGUAGUCCCUGAGCGGGCUGGCAAGGCGCAU